CCCGCCUCCUCACAGAGAUAAAGGUUUCUGUCCCCUCCUUGCCCAGAGUUGCUCUCAGACCUCCUGGAUCACUCUCAGGCUAAAUUUCUUGGCAGGAAUGGUAUUGCUUUGGAAGAUCUGCUGUUGAGUGCUUCUUUUUGGAAAUAUGUCCUUGCAAAGUAAAAUGUCAAAAUCAGCGGUGGAAGCAGCAGGGGAAAAAUGGGCACAAAAUUUGAAAUCAAGCACAAAGUGCCUUCCUUGUAUACCAGAGCUGAAACAGGAUAUGAGUGACACAUUAUGUAAAAUGCCUUCCAACAGAGACAUCGUUGGAAGAUUCUUGGGACUUUUUGAUGAAUUGAAAGGACGACAUGACCGACUCAGAAAAAUAUCUGAGGAAGUGUUGAAGCUUUGGGAGAAGCUGAAUUUUCCUGUUCUUUCCAAACAACAAGCGUCUGCAAAGGUUGACAAACUUAUCACAUCUUUUGAAAAACACAGAAAGCGACCAAAUGCAGAAUUUGAAGAAAAUCUUGCUCAUCUGUUCGAUAUUACAAAAACAAAUGGAAAUUGGCUUUGUAGUGAGGACAAAGAACUGUACAAAAGACAAAUUGAAUCAGGAGGCAGGGUGGGAUAUACGACUGUGAAAGUGGCUCCUAUGUCAACAAUCCAUCCAUCAAAAAGGGCCAAACGCACAUCAGAACCCUCGACAAGCCAAACGGUUAUCUCUGAAUCCAGUGAUAGUGAGGAAGGAAGCAGCAGUGAUAUUGUGCACAUGUUGGAGGCUAAAGAAGAGGUUGUGCCAGAGCAGCAGGAUGGGAGCUCCAGACUGGACCAGGAGGACCCAGAUCACCUGGCCAUUAAAGAGGAACAGGAAGAACUUCAGAUCAGUCAGGACAGAGAACAGCUUCAAAGGCUGCAGGAUGAUGAUGUCAUAAAGUUCACACUGACUCAUGGGCAUGUGAAGGGUGAAGAUGAGUCGCUUCAGUUGUCAGAGUUAAAGAGCAGGGAGGCGGAGCCUGGAGCUAGCAGCUCUGACAGAUACGUGAAAACAGAAUCUGACGGUGGAGAACCAGACCCGGAGCUGCAUCCAGCUGCUGACGAAAAGACGCACUCUUCUGAUGCCGACACCGACAACAGUGACGACUGGGAGCCGAGCUGCCAGGCCCGGGCAGGUUCAAACUCUCCCUGCAAAAAAGUCUCCGUCAGUCAGAGAAGACGUCACAGUGGCCAGAAACAGUACAUCUGCUCAGAGUGCGAGAAAACCUUCCACUACACGUGGGAUCUGAAGUCACACAUGAGGUGUCACACGGGAGAAAAACCAUUCAGCUGCUCCUUCUGUGCAAAGCGUUUCAGGCAGAGUGCGCACGUGGUGUCGCACAUGAGAAUCCACACAGGAGAGAAACCUCACGUCUGCUCUGUGUGCAAUCAGAGUUUUACGCAAAAAACUCACCUGACCGUCCACAUGAAAGUGCACACAGGAGGACAAAUGUUCGGAUGCAGCGUCUGUAAGAAAAGCUACAGCAGGAAGUCUUACCUGAAAAGCCAUAAGUGCAAAGUGGAGUACGACGCUGAGUCUUUCCUCAACUUUGUAAAGCGCACGUCUAUGUACUGACCAGGCGUCUGUGCCGCGAGCAGCCAACAGACUGGAGGUUGUUGUUCCAAUCACUCCAUCAGGAUGGUUUAUUGUCCUCAGAUUGGUUCACCUCCUGACCCUGGCAGACGGUGUGCAGCAGGUGUUGCUUCCACGAACAGCAGGACUGCAACAUCCGUCCGGACCAGAAGCACCCAGAUCCCCCACACAUUACAGAGGGACAGCAGAAACUCUGGACUAGUCAAUUGGGGAAAUAUCUUUCCAGAUCUGACACUGAUCCAUUUCCCUGUGAAGACUGAAGACGAUGGAGACAAACCUGAGUCCUCUGAGCUUCAUCAAAGCCAAACUAAGGAGAACAUGGAGGUGGAGCUUCGACAGAAGUCAUGAAAGUGGUAGCACAACACCACAAGAAGACCUUAUCCGAACAGACCUCAGUCAUCAAACUGGCAAAAAACUUUGGCGGAGAACUUCUACAUGAGAGAGAAAGCAACAAUCUGACACCUGCAACAAAACUUGCAAGACAGACCAGAGAACAAUACAACCAAAGAGAACAAAAACAUCAAGUGGACAGAUGGAAACAGCACAGAAGGGCUGGACGAUUCCAAGAACUGAAAAAGGAAUACAA